rnacentral:rRNA from 1 species
GACGAACGCUGGCGGCGUGCCUAACACAUGCAAGUCGAACGGAGUUAAGACUUCGGUUUUAACUUAGUGGCGAACGGGUGAGUAACGCGUGAGGAACCUGCCUUUCAGUGGGGGACAACAGUUGGAAACGACUGCUAAUACCGCAUAACAUGUACGGAUCGCAUGGUCUGUACAUCAAAGCUUUAUGUGCUGAAAGAUGGCCUCGCGUCUGAUUAGAUAGUUGGUGAGGUAACGGCUCACCAAGUCGACGAUCAGUAGCCGGACUGAGAGGUUGAACGGCCACAUUGGGACUGAGAUACGGCCCAGACUCCUACGGGAGGCAGCAGUCGGGAAUAUUGCACAAUGGAGGAAACUCUGAUGCAGUGACGCCGCGUGCAGGAAGAAGGUUUUCGGGUUGUAAACGUUCUUUUACCAGGGACGAAGACGUGACGGUACCUGGAGAAAAAGCCAACGGCUAACUACGUG